AAAGGAAUAGACGGGGGCCCGCACAAGCGGAGGAACAUGUGGUUUAAUUCGAUGAUACGCGAGGAACCUUACCUGGGCUUAAAUGGGGAGUGACAGGCUUGGAAACAGGCCCUUCUUCGGACACUCUUCAAGGUGCUGCAUGGUUGUCGUCAGCUCGUGCCGUGAGGUGUCGGGUUAAGUCCCAUAACGAGCGCAACCCCUAUCGAUAGUUACCAGCACGUAGUGGUGGGGACUCUAUCGAGACUGCCGGUGUAAACCGUGAGGAAGGUGGGGAUGACGUCAAAUCAGCACGGCCCUUACGUCCAGGGCUACACACGUGUUACAAUGGCCGGUACAAAGGGCAGCUACUUCGCGAGAAGAUGCGAAUCCCAAAAACCGGUCUCAGUUCGGAUCGAAGUCUGCAACCCGACUUCGUGAAGCUGGAUUCGCUAGUAAUCGCGCAUCAGCCAUGGCGCGGUGAAUACGUUCCCGGGCCUUGUACACACCGCCCGU
rnacentral:rRNA from 1 species